rnacentral:rRNA from 1 species
UUUUUGUGGAGGGUUCGAUUCUGGCUCAGGAUGAACGCUGGCGGCGUGCUUAACACAUGCAAGUCGAACGGGAUCCAGGCAGCUUGCUGCCUGGUGAGAGUGGCGAACGGGUGAGUAAUGCGUGACCGACCUGCCCCAUACACCGGAAUAGCUCCUGGAAACGGGUGGUAAUGCCGGAUGCUCCAGCCUUCCGCAUGGUGGGCUGGGAAAGAUUUCAUCGGUAUGGGAUGGGGUCGCGUCCUAUCAGGUAGUCGGCGGGGUAACGGCCCACCGAGCCUACGACGGGUAGCCGGCCUGAGAGGGCGACCGGCCACAUUGGGACUGAGAUACGGCCCAGACUCCUACGGGAGGCAGCAGUGGGGAAUAUUGCACAAUGGGCGCAAGCCUGAUGCAGCGACGCCGCGUGCGGGAUGACGGCCUU